GUGGGGAAUAUUGGACAAUGGGCGAAAGCCUGAUCCAGCCAUGCCGCGUGUGUGAAGAAGGUCUUCGGAUUGUAAAGCACUUUAAGUUGGGAGGAAGGGCAUUAACCUAAUACGUUAGUGUUUUGACGUUACCGACAGAAUAAGCACCGGCUAACUCUGUGCCAGCAGCCGCGGUAAUACAGAGGGUGCAAGCGUUAAUCGGAAUUACUGGGCGUAAAGCGCGCGUAGGUGGUUCGUUAAGUUGGAUGUGAAAUCCCCGGGCUCAACCUGGGAACUGCAUCCAAAACUGGCGAGCUAGAGUAGGGCAGAGGGUGGUGGAAUUUCCUGUGUAGCGGUGAAAUGCGUAGAUAUAGGAAGGAACACCAGUGGCGAAGGCGACCACCUGGGCUCAUACUGACACUGAGGUGCGAAAGCGUGGGGAGCAAACAGG
rnacentral:rRNA from 1 species